CGGGCUGUCAUAUAAUGGUAUUAUGCACGAUUCGGGUUCGUGCAACCCGGGUUCGAUUCCCGGUAGCCCGA
rnacentral:tRNA from 1 species